rnacentral:lncRNA from 1 species
AAACAACCCCUUUUUCCCAACUCGCACCUCCUAGCCCCUUUUUUGUCUAGGGAACACAAGACAUGUCUCCCAGUAGUGAUGGCAGCGUCCUACCCACUUGUCACUCCCUCCCUUCCCCACAGCUGGAAGUAUUGAGCAUCAUCAUAUGCCUUCACAUCUCUGCAGUGUGGAAAGGAAAUUAGACUGACAGUUUGUGGGGGAAGGGGCCAACUGGGAGUGGCAGUUGGGUCUUGUGACUAGCACUUCUUUCCUGCCGUGUGGGACUUGCUGCCUGGUGUUGGAGGAGAGAGGAGCUUGUUCAGCAUGUCUGGAGUGGCAUGCUCUUCUUGGUUCAGCCCGAAGAUUCAGGCCCAGUCAUCUCUGAAGCCAGUCUUCCAGAGCCUCAACACUUCUUUUCUGGACUGCUGCAGAAGAUUCCUCAUUGGUCUCCCAGCCUCUACUCCUCCCCAUCUCUUCUCCUGGCACCACUCUGCACUCUCCAGACUUGCCAGAAGGCUUUCUAGCCCUGGAAGAUAAUUUUGGCCCCUGGGUCCACUGCUCCAUUGGUGAGUUCCUUGAGAAACCUCCAUUUUGAGAGAAUGGCAUCCCUCAGCACUCUCCCAGCAUCUGCUCCUGACUCUGUUUCCCUCCAUUGUGACAGUUACUCUUAUUGAUACAAUGAUCCAAGACAAAUCUGAAGGACUUAGGAUGAAAAAUGCUAUCUUCCUCUGGGGGAAAGAACCAAUGGAACCUGAAUGCAGAUCAAAGUAUACUUUUUAAACUUUAUUUUUCUUUAGUUUUGGGGGGAGGUUAUGCUUUCCUUCACAGCAUGACUAAUAUGGAAAUAUGGUUUGCAUGACUGCAUAUAUAUAACCUAUAUCAAAGUACUUAUCCUUUCAGGGAAGUUGGAAGAGGGAGAAAGGGAAUUUGGAACUUAGAAUUUCAAAAAAUGAAUGCUAAAAAUUUUUUUACAUGUAAUUGGAAAAAAUAUUAAACUGAAAAUAAAAGAAUCUAAGUUUCUUCUGGGCA